GAAAGAGGGAGAGGGAGAGAGCACACCUGGUGCCACAUGUAUAGAAAUUCGCCUACCUCUAAAGCAACAGAGACUUGUCCAGAUUUGAUAAACUUAGUUCUGCCUCAAGAAAACAUUAGAUUUCAGCCAUGAGUUAGCCCAUCUAUAGCAGGGCUGAGACCUCAUCUUAAACCCCGAGGGUGUGGGGAACUCCAAUCCCUUUGAUCUUAGGAGAGGUUCUAUUUUUCUAGAGGGCCCGCCAUAAAGCUUGAAUUAGAACCGGGACCUGAAUGUCAUGAGCAAUUUCGUUCCAAGUGUCUCCUGAGCACGCCUGGGAAACUUCAGAGAGCCAGAGAGGGGCCUCUGUGUGUGGUCGUGCUGGAGGAGACACAAUAAUGGAGCUGACCAUAGGUAAAAGAUUUCAGACAAACACGCCCUCAUAGUCCUACAGAACAGGGUGAACUUUGUCCAUCCUCCACUACGUUGGUCUGAAUGAGGCGGUCCCCAUACUCUCGAGCAUCUGAGUAUUUGGUCACCAGUUGGUGACUGCUGCUUGGUUUGUGGUUCGUGUGGUGAGCCCUCAGUUACUGUUCCAGUCAUUUUGCCUGCUGCCAUGCUUCCCGCCAUAACGGUGAUGGGUUUAUCCUCUGGGGAGAAAUCUCAUGCAUUCCGUUGUCUUCAACAACACCCUCCAACACCCUCCUCUUACACGCUUUCUCGCGACCGGCCAGGAAAGACGCAACAAACCGGAAUCUUCUGCGGCAAGAGCUCUAUUGCUUACAUCUUUAGGAGCCAGAGCAAGAGCGCAAGAGAGCAAGAGCCAGAGCAANNNNNNNNNNNNNNGUCAUCAUGAGAAGGCAGAACACAUGGCGGGAAAACUGCCCCUGCACAUGUGCAGAUUAUGUUUACCACUUAGAACACAGCUGUCAGCGCCAUCUUAUAAUGGCAAAUGUGAGGGUGGCUCCCCACACCCUCCCUUAAAGUGUCUUGUCUUUCCCAUCUUGUGGACCUUUUUCUAGUUCCUUGGCCUCUACCCACAUUUACUCUCCAACAGGCAUACAUACUUAACAACUAGCAGCUAGGAGCCACAUACAAGAGAACAACUGGUCCACUGCAUCUGCCUUUCUGAGCCUUCACCCCCUUUAGCAUAAUGUUUUCUAGUUCCAACCAUUUUCUUGUAAUUUCCUUCUGUAAAAGAUCUUCAUUUAUUUGAACCGCAUGUAUAUGAGUGUUCUGCCUCCAGGUAUGUAAGUGUACAUGCAUAAAUUCACCUGGCGCUGCAGAGGCCAAAAGAACGAAUCGGAUGCCCUGGAACUGGAGUUACAGAGAGUUGUGAGCUGCCGCAUGGGGGCUGGGAACCAAACCCAUUUUGGUGGAACCAAACCAAGCCCACUUGCUAUUCCUCUGCAAGAACAGCGAGUGCUUUUAGCUAUUGAGCUAAGUCUCCAGCUCCCACACGUCAUAUCGAGUUGCUAUGUGAGUAAAAUCCUAUUGUGUGUAUGUACUAUAUUCCCAUUAUCCAUUCUUCCAUUGAUGGACAUGUAAGCUGAUUCCAUCUGCUUUGUACUGUGAAAAGAGCAUUCGUGUACAUGGAUGUACACGGAUCACUGUGGUAGGAUGCACAGAUCCUUGGUUGUACACGGAUGUACAUGGAUCACUGUGGUGGGAUACACAGACCUUUGGAGGCUGGGCAUGGUAGAGACUCACACCUUUAAUCCCAGAACUCAGGAAGCAUAGGCACACAGAUCUCUGAGUUUGAGUGCCAGGACGGUUAGGGCUGCGCAGAGGGAAAAUGUCUAAAACCAAAAUAGUAACAACAGCAACCCCGGGUUGGUUGCAUGUGCAGGAAUGGUAGAGCUGAGUCAGGUGGUACUUCUAGUCUUAGGUUGCUGAAGUUCCACACUAAUAACCAUAAUGGCUGCACCAGGGACCUUUUCUUUCCCAAAUCAUCACGGAUAUGCAUUGUCUUGAAGUUGGCCACUCUCUGACUUCGGUGAGGUGGAAUCUCAAAGACGUGUUGCUUUGCUUUUUUUUUUUUUUUCCUGGUGGCUUGGAAACAGUUUUUAUGCAUUAACAGCUUUCUAUUGGAGAAGUUUGUUUUUGUUUUUAUUUGUUUUGUUUUUUCUGUGUCUUCACCUGAUUUAGCAAGUGGAAUUUGUGUUUUUCACGAGGUUUAUAAAUAAAAUGUUAUGUAGCCCAUGGUACCUU
ensembl:processed_transcript AY512931 cDNA sequence AY512931